rnacentral:rRNA from 1 species
GGCCGGCGCCCUAUCAGCUAGUGGGUGGGGUAAGGGCUCACCAAGGCGAGGAGGGGUAGCGGCCCUGAGAGGGGGCCCGGCCCCACGGGGAUUGAGACACGGCCCAGAUUCUUACGGGAGGCACCAGUGGGGAAUAUUGCCCAAUGGGGGAAACCUUGAGGCAGGAACGCCGCUUGGGGGAGAAGGUCUUUCGGGUUGUAAACUUCUUUCACCAGGGAAGAAGCGAAAGUGACGGUACCUGCAGAAGAAGCCCCGGCUAAUUACGUGCCAGCAGCCGCGGUAAUACGUAGGGUGCAAGCGUUUUCCGGAAUUAUUGGGCGUAAAGAGUUGGUAGGCGGUUUGUCGCGUCGGCAGUGAAAACCCGGGGCUUAACCUCGGGCUUGCAUUGGAUACGGGCAGACUAGAGUGCGGUAGGGGAGACUGGAAUUCCUGGUGUAGCGGUGGAAUGCGCAGAUAUCAGGAGGAACACCGAUGGCGAAGGCAGGUCUCUG